GGAGGAGUUGACCCAGACUGUGGGGAAGAUCACUGAGUUUGGGACUGCAAGGAGGUAAUGCUCACCUGACUCUGAAAUGAUGGUGGAUGAGGAGAGCCAAGGG